rnacentral:piRNA from 1 species
UAGACCACUCCCUAGGAGAUAGCCCCUUCUA